UACAGAGGUCCCGAGCGUUUGUUCGGAUUCACUGGGCGUAAAGGGUGCGUAGGUGGCAUGGUAAGUUUGAUGUGAAAGCUCAGGGCUCAACCCUGAAAUGGCAUUGAAUACUACUGUGCUGGAGGUUUGGAGGGGGGAGCUGGAAUUCUCGGUGUAGCAGUGAAAUGCGUAGAUAUCGAGAGGAACACCAGUGGCGAAGGCGAGUCCCUGGACAACACCUGACACUGAGGCACGAAAGCUAGGGGAGCAAACAGG
rnacentral:rRNA from 1 species